rnacentral:lncRNA from 1 species
AUAUAAUAUUAGUUGAUGAACAAAAUUAUAUUAUUAACUUUCGUUCUCCUGACUCUUGAUGAGAAAUUUGUGUAAUUCUGAUGGAUUUGAUCUCAUUUCAAGAGUCAAUUUUUGCUUAGAAACUUGAAUUUCAUAGAUCCCACGUUUUUUGUUUUGUUUUAUAGUGAGUCGUGUUCCACCUUUGUUUUUAUCCUGUCCUGGAUGCAUGGAUAGAAUGACCCUGAUUCAUGAAGGUUAAACUUGCCUUUCUUUGAAGCUGAUAGAUAUGGGGAAGAAAGCUCCUAGAUCUCAUUUGAGGAUCUGGAACCUUUGUGCCUGUAAAUGAAAAGAAAAUACCAAAAAGCAGCAGAUAAAUCAAUUGACUCUUUUUCACAGACCUUUUCUGGUUAUUGGAAAUGACCUUAUUGAAUAAGGCAUGGCAUUAUUUCCUCACUCCCUGAUUUAUUUUUUUUCUUCUAUAUGGAUCCCAGAUAUCUACAGGGGUUUUUAGAAUCCAUAAAAGAUGAUGAGAGAGGACAAGACAGGACCUUAGGAAAAAGAUUCAAUCUUAUCAAAAGUUUGGAAAGCAUAGGCAGUCAGUUAUUCAUGAAAAAGAAAAGAAACGUAACCCUUGGUAAGUCUUAUGAUUGAUAUUAAAGUUAAUGCAUUCUUCAUUAAAAGCAGCAAUUGAGGUAACUUAUACCCGUUUGUUUCGUCAAAAUGAAGUAGAGUAAAACUUAUUUAAAUAAAUAUACUCGAUUCUGGGUGUGGAUUUAAUGUAAAUCAAUACUUUAAUCCUCAAUCUGAAACGGAACAGCGUUUUUCAUUUGAUUUUAUCUUUUAAAUGAAUGUCACUGCUUUCACUUAAUGUAUCCUCUUUUUUGCUUUUACAGGGCUCAAUCAUAUUUAAAAAAUGACAAAAGAUUGUAUGGUUACGAAAUGAAAAAAUUGAUGAAAAGGAUGAAUCUAUGUAUCAAUGAUCUUCUCAGGAAUUGUUUUUCAGACGGUAAAUUUUAUUGCUUUUAAAAAUGUUAGUCUGUUUUUUGUUUUGUUUUUAAAAACAUGAUGUAUAACCUAUUCUGCUUGAAUCCAGUAUUCAAUCCAUGAAAGCAAAAAAAUGUGAUUUAAUGAGACUGAAAUAUUUUUAUGUAAAUACCUAUUAGUUAAUACG